rnacentral:rRNA from 1 species
AUUGAACGCUGGCGGCAGGCCUAACACAUGCAAGUCGAACGAGUGGCGGACGGGUGAGUAAUUUCUGGGAAACUGCCUGAUGGAGGGGGAUAACUACUGGAACCGGUAGCUAAUAGCGCAUACCAUCCGAUUUGCCCAGAUGGGAUUAGCUUGUUGGUGGGGUAACGGCUCACCAAGGCGACGAUCCUUAGCUGGUCCGAGGGGAUGACGGGCCAACCUGGAACUGAGACUGGGGCGAAACUCAUACGGGAGGAGGAAUGGGGAAAUAUUGCACAAUGGGCGCAAUCCUGCUGCAGCCAUGCCGCGUGUAUGAAGAAGGCCUUCGGGUUGUAAAGUACUUUCAGCGGGGAGGCGUUACCCGCAGAAGAAGCACCGGCUAACUACGUGCCAGCAGCCGCGGUAAUAC